GACGAACGCUGGCGGCGUGCCUAAUACAUGCAAGUCGAGCGAAGUUUUUCUGGUGCUUGCACCGGAAAAACUUAGCGGCGAACGGGUGAGUAACACGUAAAGAACCUGCCUCAUAGACUGGGACAACUAUUGGAAACGAUAGCUAAUACCGGAUAAUAGCAUUAACUGCAUGGUUGAUGUUUAAAAGUUGGUUUUGCUAACACUAUGAGAUGGCUUUGCGGUGCAUUAGCUAGUUGGUGGGGUAAAGGCCUACCAAGGCGACGAUGCAUAGCCGACCUGAGAGGGUGAUCGGCCACACUGGGACUGAGACACGGCCCAGACUCCUACGGGAGGCAGCAGUAGGGAAUCUUCCGCAAUGGGCGAAAGCCUGACGGAGCAACGCCGCGUGAGUGAAGGAGGAUUUCGGUUCGUAAAGCUCUGUUGUUAGGGAAGAAUGAUUGUGUAGUAACUAUACACAGUAGAGACGGUACCUAAACAGAAAGCCACGGCUAACUACGUG
rnacentral:rRNA from 1 species